GCCUUCCUAGCUGAUGCACCCGGUGGCCAUCACCUCCCAUUUCUUCUUCCUACAUGGGAUGGAGUUUGCAGCCGGGCGGUAGUUGAUAGCGACGCGCUUCUUUGGUUGUGGACAGCAAGGUGGCGCUCUCCUCAAAUCGUGGCAACCCUCUCCCGAUCUCCCUUUUGCCCUUUCCAUCUGCGGCAGAGCACGACGAGACGAGACCAUGGAUCCGGUGGACGGUGGCGAGGCGAGGCAAUGCUGCUCUCUUCCAGCGGAUUGAGGCGAGGUGGAACACUCCUCGUCGGUCUCUUCCGCAUCGGGCAGCUACACCUCCGGCGGAUCGAGGCGCAGCGGCUUCUUCCGCAGGAUUUGGUGAUGUAAUUGUUUGAUCUUAUCAUUUUUUCCUGUGGGCACGAAUUGUUACCCUUGAAGCCCUGCCGUGUUUUUCCCUUAGAGUGACGGUGCGUGUAGAGAAUUGGAUUGAUAGUUUUAGUUGCCUUGUUUGACAAAUCUGCGGGUGAAUAUUGCAGCUGAUACCAACUACAAAUAUUCAGUAUCGAACACUCAACAUUUUAUGGCGUUAAGGUUUUCUAAUCAAGGAUAUAUUCAUUUAUGCACAAGAACCAAAAAUCAUAUUAGCAUAAAUGGAAGAAACAUAUUUAUCCACGGGGACUAAUAGUACUACUGUGUCAAAGACCUGCUAUAUCUAUGAAACUAUAGGACAUAAUACUACUUGUAACAUACUGUACUAUAACUGCUAACAAAGAAAAACUACUACAAACGGUCACUGAUAUGACUUUUUCCAUGUAACUUUUUGGAUUAUACAAUGAAAAUUUUCUGAGUAUUGUCUUGGUAAUUUUCUGUUACAACAUUGAACAUGAAAAUUGGUCAGUUUAAGUGAGUUUUAGCAAGGUUGGGCACAAAAUAGGACCCAAAAGCCACCACAUCCAUCCACUCUGACUCUGCCACACAUUUUCCUCUUAACAACAGUCUAGAGGAAAAUGGAAUGAACAAAUCAAAUUGUAAAUAAACACAUCGUUAUAUGUUAAUGGGGACUUAUGAUGGGACAACAAAUUUCCAACAAUGCAACUACCACUCAAUAACCAAUUUGAAUGUCCUUAGUGCCAGUACAGGUUGAAUGUGGUGUCUCAAUGGAUCAAUGGUUCCUGAUGGAUUUUGACAAAAAGGUCUAUGGGUUAAGAAGUACAACAUAAGUUAGCCGUCGGAAUAUCAUUUAGCGUACCCUUUGGCGGUGUUGAGGGAGCAUAAUGCAUGCCAGCAAAGGAUAUACUACGAAACUAUGAUCCGAAAAUAGUCAAUUACACUGAUAUGUUGCAUCUUAAAUAUUGCAGGUCUAUUGGUAUUAACAUGGAAUGCAGUAAAAGAGUGGUUUUCAGUUAUGAGAUUAGUAUCAUAUAUCUACUUUAUUUUGUCUUGUAAUACAGCGAUAAACUGGUAUUAUUAGCAGGGGUUCGACAACAACAAAAUUUUGCGGGAGAGAUAAUGACAAAUAUUUUGGAUAUGGUGAGAAGAUCACUCCUACAAAACAGAGUCUAUUGGUAUUUACACGGA
rnacentral:lncRNA from 1 species